ACGAACGCUGGCGGCGUGCUUCACACAUGCAAGUCGUACGGUAAGGCCCUUUCGGGGGUACACGAGUGGCGAACGGGUGAGUAACACGUGAGUAACCUGCCCACAACUUUGGGAUAACGCUAGGAAACUGGUGCUAAUACUGGAUAUGUGCUCCUGCUGCAUGGUGGGGGGUGGAAAGCUCCGGCGGUUGUGGAUGGACUCGCGGCCUAUCAGCUUGUUGGUGGGGUAGUGGCCUACCAAGGCGGCGACGGGUAGCCGGCCUGAGAGGGUGACCGGCCACAUUGGGACUGAGAUACGGCCCAGACUCCUACGGGAGGCAGCAGUGGGGAAUAUUGCACAAUGGGCGCCAGCCUGAUGCAGCAACGCCGCGUGCGGGAUGACGGCCUUCGGGUUGUAAACCGCUUUCAGCAGGGACGAAGCUUUUUGUGACGGUACCUGCAGAAGAAGCACCGGCUAACUACGUG
rnacentral:rRNA from 1 species